rnacentral:rRNA from 1 species
GACGAACGCUGGCGGCGUGCCUAAUACAUGCAAGUCGAACGGUGAACCAGGGCUUGCCCUGGGGAUCAGUGGCGAACGGGUGAGUAACACGUGGGCAACCUGCCCCAGACAUCGGGAUAACUACUCGAAAGAGUGGCUAAUACCGAAUACGACCACUUUGGGCAUCCAACGGUGGUGGAAAAGGAUUCUGGUCUGGGAUGGGCCCGCGGCCUAUCAGCUUGUUGGUGGGGUAGAGGCCUACCAAGGCGACGACGGGUAGCCGGCCUGAGAGGGCGACCGGCCACACUGGGACUGAGACACGGCCCAGACUCCUACGGGAGGCAGCAGUGGGGAAUAUUGCGCAAUGGGCGAAAGCCUGACGCAGCGACGCCGCGUGAGGGACGAAGGUCCUCGGAUUGUAAACCUCUUUCAGCAGGGACGAAGCGAAAGUGACUGUACCUGCAGAAGAAGCACCGGCUAACUACGUG